rnacentral:rRNA from 1 species
ACGGAGAGUUUGAUCCUGGCUCAGGAUGAACGCUAGCGGCAGGCCUAAUACAUGCAAGUCGAGGGGCAGCACGGUUUUCGGACUGGUGGCGACCGGCGCACGGGUGCGUAACGCGUAUGCAACCUACCUUUUACAGGGGGAUAGCCCGGGGAAACUCGGAUUAAUACCCCAUGGUAUCAUAAGAUCGCAUGAUUUAAUGAUUAAAGAUUUAUCGGUAAAAGAUGGGCAUGCGUCUGAUUAGCUAGAUGGUGAGGUAACGGCUCACCAUGGCAAUGAUCAGUAGGGGUUCUGAGAGGAUGAUCCCCCACACUGGUACUGAGAUACGGACCAGACUCCUACGGGAGGCAGCAGUAGGGAAUAUUGGUCAAUGGGCGAGAGCCUGAACCAGCCAUGCCGCGUGUAGGAUGACGGCCUUCUGGGUUGUAAACUACUUUUCUACAGGAAGAAAAAGACUAUGCGUAGUCAAUUGACGGUACUGUAGGAAUAAGCACCGGCUAACUCCGUGCCAGCAGCCGCGGUAAUACGGAG